rnacentral:snRNA from 1 species
GUGCUUGCUUCAGCAGCAUAUAUACUAAAAUUGGAAUGAUACAGAGAAGAUUAGAAUGGCCCCUGCACAAGGAUGACACGCAAAUUUGUGAAGUGUUCCAUAUUUCA